GGGGAAUAUUGCGCAAUGGGCGCAAGUCUGACCCAGCAACGCCGCGUGAAUGAAGAAGUAUUUCGGUUGUAAACUUCUUUUGUCAGGGACGAAACAAGUGACGGUACCUGAGAAUAAGCUCCGGCUAACUAC
rnacentral:rRNA from 1 species